rnacentral:lncRNA from 1 species
UUUGACUAAAAACACUAAAUUAUUACUCAUUAGAUAUAUAAAAGCUAUUAUAAGAGUAGAAAAUAUUGAAAAAGAAUUUGCAAGGGAAAGAUGAGGAAUGCAUAACUAAUGAAAUUUGUCAAAUUAACUAGUAUGAUCUUCACGAUCGUUAAUGGUCAAUGAGACUGAUUAUGCUUCUAAUUACUCUAAAAUACAUAUCUAAACAUGAUUGGAAGGGUGAUUUAGAAUCUUAGUCUGAAUUUUAUAGUAGGUGAACCGAAGGAUAGGGCAAAAGUGGAAGAAGCAAGUUUGGAUUGAAAAUGCUUUAAGCUACCGUAUAUCAAGAACUUAUUACAGGAUACUUUUGGAUAUUUUUUACAACUAUGCAUAACACAUAACAUAUAACAUAAUGCACCUAAUGAAUUCAAUUAUAGAAACAGAUGGAAUUCCAUUCAUCUGCUAUGUCUCUAUAAUGUCACUAGGUGUUUAAGUUUUAACACUUAUUUAGUAUGGUUUCAUGUGCCAUUGAUAUCUUAUAGAUACAUCUAAAUGGAACUUGGUGUUCUUAUGACUGAUAUCUUAUUUCAAGCAUCAUCCAGAAAGGCUUUUAGGUUGAUGGCAGAUGAUCCUCCAUUACUAAUAGCUUUUCUUGCUAACUCCCUCCAUUUCUUAGCAUUUCUCCUCACCUCUUCAUCUUC